rnacentral:rRNA from 1 species
GGUUCCUUCGGGAACUGGAGAGUGGCGCACGGGUGAGUAACGCGUGGGGACCUACCUCUUAGUGGGGGAUAACGGUUGGAAACGACCGCUAAUACCGCAUACGCCCUUCGGGGGAAAGAUUUAUCGCUAAGAGAUGGACCCGCGUUGGAUUAGAUAGUUGGUGAGGUAACGGCUCACCAAGUCAGCGAUCCAUAGCUGGUUUGAGAGGAUGAUCAGCCACACUGGGACUGAGACACGGCCCAGACUCCUACGGGAGGCAGCAGUGGGGAAUAUUGGACAAUGGGGGCAACCCUGAUCCAGCCAUGCCGCGUGAGUGAAGAAGGCCUUCGGGUUGUAAAGCUCUUUCAGAUGCGAAGAUGAUGACGGUAACAUCAGAAGAAGCCCCGGCUAAUUUCGUGCCAGCAGCCGCGGUAAUACGAAAGGGGCUAGCGUUGUUCGGAUUUACUGGGCGUAAAGGGCACGCAGGCGGUCUUGCCAGUCAGGGGUGAAAGCCCGGGGCUCAACCCCGGAACUGCCUCUGAUACUGCAAGACUAGAGACUA